AACGAACGCUGGCGGCAGGCUUAACACAUGCAAGUCGAACGGGUGUAGCAAUACAUCAGUGGCAGACGGGUGAGUAACACGUGGGAACCUUCCUAGGGGUACGGAACAACUCAGGGAAACUUGAGCUAAUACCGUAUACGUCCGUAAGGAGAAAGAUUCAUCGCCCCUAGACGGGCCCGCGUCGGAUUAGGUAGUUGGUGGGGUAACGGCCUACCAAGCCUACGAUCCGUAGCUGAUCUGAGAGGAUGAUCAGCCACACUGGGACUGAGACACGGCCCAGACUCCUACGGGAGGCAGCAGGUGGGGAAUCUUGGACAAUGGGCGCAAGCCUGAUCCAGCCAUGCCGCGUGAGUGAAGAAGGCCUUAGGGUUGUAAA
rnacentral:rRNA from 1 species